rnacentral:rRNA from 1 species
UGGGGAAUUUUCCGCAAUGGGGGCAACCCUGACGGAGCAACGCCGCGUGGGGGAGGACUGUCUGUGGAUUGUAAACCCCUUUUCUCAGGGAAGAAGUUCUGACGGUACCUGAGGAAUCAGCAUCGGCUAACUCCGUGCCAGCAGCCGCGGUAAGACGGAGGAUGCAAGCGUUAUCCGGAAUUACUGGGCGUAAAGCGUUCGUAGGUGGUUUUGUAAGUCUGCUGUUAAAGCGUGUAGCUUAACUACAUAUAGGCGGUGGAAACUACAAAACUAGAGUGCGUUCGGGGCAGAGGGAAUUCCUAGUGUAGCGGUGAAAUGCGUAGAGAUUAGGAAGAACACCGGUGGCGAAAGCGCUCUGCUAGGCCGCAACUGACACUGAGGGACGAAAGCUAGGGGAGCGAAUGGGAUUAGAUACCCGCGUAGUCC